UCAGCAACUUUUCCUCUGGACAGGUUUUGAUAAAUCUCCCCCAUAUACAGAUGUCUUUACAGAUAUAGUUACAGAUUUGCGUCCUUAUGGCUCAUGGUCUGUUUUUAGAGCUCUGUAUGGAAAUCCUCCCAUGCAAAUUAAAGAGCAUUUUUAUCCCUGAAAAUGAUCUCCUGCUCCGUGUGGGGGCAAUGUCCAGAGGCAAAAUCAUUCAAUCAUUUCAGCCAACACCUCUGGGGACUCCUGCAGAACUGUUGGGAAAAGUAUUCUAAGUGACUACGUCAUGAAGUGGAUUCAAAGAUUUGCAAGAUCGUGCAGAGCUGCCAUCAAAGGAAAAGAACCAAAGUCUAAAUGGGCCCCAACUGGUAACCGCAGUCACGUGAGGGGUCCUUCAUAUGGACAACACAUCGUCAUGCAUGGGAAUGCACAGAGGACCAGUGAGGAGGGUAUGACCAGGGUAAGUAUAUUAAAAAGUUUGUUAUAUUUACAUUUUAUGGUAAUAGGCACUUCAAAGUGUAACUCCAAUGAUGUUGCGACGGGAAGAUACUGGUUUAAAACUGCCGGCAGCUCCGUAGCGAUCUCCAGAUUUGCUUGAAGUCAUAUGCAAGUCUAUGGAACUUCUGGAAAAUCUGUAGACCGUUCUCUUUAUCCUCCUGCCACAACAUCAUUGGAGUUGUGCU